UGGGGAAUAUUGCACAAUGGGCGCAAGCCUGAUGCAGCCAUGCCGCGUGUGUGAAGAAGGCCUUCGGGUUGUAAAGCACUUUCAGCGAGGAGGAAGGUGGUGAGCUUAAUACGCUCAUCAAUUGACGUUACUCGCAGAAGAAGCACCGGCUAACUCCGUGCCAGCAGCCGCGGUAAUACGGAGGGUGCAAGCGUUAAUCGGAAUUACUGGGCGUAAAGCGCACGCAGGCGGUUUGUUAAGUCAGAUGUGAAAUCCCCGGGCUCAACCUGGGAACUGCAUUUGAAACUGGCAAGCUAGAGUCUCGUAGAGGGGGGUAGAAUUCCAGGUGUAGCGGUGAAAUGCGUAGAGAUCUGGAGGAAUACCGGUGGCGAAGGCGGCCCCCUGGACGAAGACUGACGCUCAGGUGCGAAA
rnacentral:rRNA from 1 species